rnacentral:rRNA from 1 species
GUGCCAGCCGCCGCGGUAAUACGGAGGAUACAAGCGUUAUCCGGAUUUAUUGGGUUUAAAGGGUGCGCAGGCGGACCGUUAAGUCAGGGGUGAAAAGUUCGGGCUCAACCUGAAUCGUGCCUUUGAUACUGGCGGACUAGAGUGCGAUAGGCGUGGCCGGAAUGUGGUGUGUAGCGGUGAAAUGCUUAGAUAUGCCACAGAACACCGAUCGAGAAGUCAGGUCACGAGUUCGCAACUGACGCUCAUGCACGAAAGCGUGGGGAUCAAACAGGAUUAGAUACCCUGGUAGUCCACGCCGUAAACGAUGAUCACUCGUUGUCGGGGGGCGACCCUCGGUGGCCAAGCGAAAGCGAUAAGUGAUCCACCUGGGGAGUACGAUCGCAAGGUUGAAACUCAAAGGAAUUGACGGGGGCCCGCACAAGCGGAGGAGCAUGUGGUUUAAUUCGAUGAUACGCGAGGAACCUUACCCGGGCUUGAACGUAACACCAACAUACAGGAGACUGUAUGGCCUUCGGGGGUGUUGCGAGGUGCUGCAUGGUUGUCGUCAGCUCGUGCCGUGAGGUGUUAGGUUAAGUCCUGCAACGAGCGCAACCCUUACCUUCAGUUGCCAGCACGUAAUGGUGGGGACUCUGGAGGAACUGCCUACGCAAGUAGAGAGGAAGGUGGGGAUGACGUCAAAUCAGCACGGCCCUUAUGUCCGGGGCUACACACGUGCUACAAUGGCGCACACAGAGGGCAGCGACCCUGCGAGGGGGAGCCAAUCCAUGAAAGUGCGUCUCAGUUCGGAUCGGAGUCUGGAACCCGACUCCGUGAAGUUGGAUUCGCUAGUAAUCGCGCAUCAGCCAUGACGCGGUGAAUACGUUCCCGGGCCUUGUACACACCGCCCGU